UACGGAGGGUGCAAGCGUUAUCCGGAUUCACUGGGUUUAAAGGGUGCGUAGGUGGGCAGGUAAGUCAGUGGUGAAAUCUCCGGGCUUAACCCGGAAACUGCCAUUGAUACUAUCUGUCUUGAAUACCGUGGAGGUGAGCGGAAUAUGUCAUGUAGCGGUGAAAUGCUUAGAUAUGACAUAGAACACCGAUUGCGAAGGCAGCUUACUAAGCAAAUAUUGACGCUGAGGCACGAAAGCGUGGGGAUCAAACAGG
rnacentral:rRNA from 1 species